rnacentral:lncRNA from 1 species
CAAAAUCAACCCACUCAGGAAUCCCAGUUCUCCUCUGGGUUGGGCAGUUUCGUAAAGCCUCCUUUCUUGGAACCCUGGACCAGAGGGACCCAUGUGUUGUGUCGGUUGUGUGGGCAGAGUGGGGAGUGGGGGCAUGGAGUCACAUCGGUUCCCCACUGUCCCUUAGGAGCUACUUAUGCAAUGAGUGUUUUAUUCAAAUAGAUAUGCUUUUAAAUGUACACCUGACACACACUUCCACGCUGUAGAGAGGAAGUUAUGACAGACACCAGAGUGAGGACAGUCCAGAAAAUAUCUUUGCCUCCCUCAUUACAAGAACACAAAAGAACUUCGUGACUCUGCCUCUCCCUUCCUCAAGAGUUUGAAAAAAGUCUGUUAGAAACGAGAUAAAGCUGCAAUGACAUCUCCAUACACAUAGCUUUUUCUUCCCUUUGACUUAUGUCCCCAGCAGAAAUUCCCAGGAGUGAGAAUACUAGGACAAAGGAGAAAGGAAAAGUGGCGGUUCCUGAUUACUGAGAGCUCCAGAGUGAACUCACAGGGGUUCUAAAGCACUUUCUUCCUUUACCCACACUGGAUGGGGGCAUUUAUCUCCACGUUCAGUGGGGGCUCCAGCUCUCAGCAGGACAACAGCAUCUGUAACAACCACACAGCUGGGGACACUGGGAACAGAGCCUUUACUCUGCUUUCGUAUAAGCCUUUAGUAAAUAAAAAGCCCAUGCCACAGUCUUUCUUCCCCGGGAUGGAAGCGUCUGAUGCUUUGUGUGGGCCCAGAGAGUUCCAUCCUUUACAAGCAGGACGAGUAAGAACUUCCUGACGGAGGAACAGGAGGAGAACUGGAGAUAAUACACACUGAACUUGAUAAUACACGCUGUGGGGAAGACGCUUGUGGAGGAUCCCUGCGGGCGGCUUCUGCUUCCCUCUGCCAUAUGUUCUCCUCAAACUGUGCUGCUGAGCUACUUGCUUUGGGACUCGAGGCAAACGCAUCUCUGAAGUGGAGUGCUGGGAGGGC